ensembl:snRNA U6atac minor spliceosomal RNA
GUGCUGUGCAAAGGAGGGAAGGUUAGCCCUCUCCUUACUAAGGCUAGGAGAUGCGUUUCUGUCCUACAAAAUACACAUGUGGCUAAGGCACUGCCAUGUUCCUCAUGAUGUCUCCCACCACCUUCCUU